UACGUUCUGUGUUGUUUUGUGCGUGGAGUGUGAAUUGGUAGUGCGGAAUAUGCGGCUUGUACGGAUGGCAAAGGCAUUGUUUUCUAGCAAAAAAAUGUUUCUGCAGUUUAGAGGAAUAGUAACAAAUUGACGCUGCGUGGUUAAGUGUGUUGUUUGGCUCGUUCGUAUAUAUGCUCGCGUCAUAUUGCGCUGUCGUGCGAAUAUUCACGCGUUCGGUGUGCGCUCGCAUAGAAUUUGCAAUUUUGGGAGAAAAUGCCGCAUGCUUUUUGCGCCUAAUAAAUAUUUUUUUUUACAAAAUCAGGCGCAUUAUUUUACCUAUAACAUAACAAAAACGGCUUUCCACAUUCCUCGCACUCUUGAAUAAACGUUUUUUAACGAAGUGCUAUUUAAUAUAGCUCUUUCAAUAAAGACAAAAAAUAAAGUUCCUAUUUAAUAAUUACUAUCAACGUUAAGGAAGUGAAUCAAAUUUGUAAAUAACAUAAAAAAUAUAAGUAGGGUCAAAAAUAAGUUCGUAUAAACAACAAAUAUAAAGUAUAGCAGUACAAACCACGUGAAAUAUAAGCAAAAAAAACUUUCAACGAGUACAAAGCGAACGGAUGCAAAAGGCAAGAGCGUUAGAGUCGUUGGGCUGUUCUCAGGCUUCAAGAAAAUUAGAGCUUAAAGGAAUUAUUUGAAAUAAAAUUGUAAUUAAUCGCGCUGGUAAAGACCCAUUCACAUAAGCAAGGUUGUAGAAAUGUUGUAUGCAGUUUGUCAGCUUGGAUUUCGAGCAGCUACUUUUUUUACAAGAAUAUCAAGGCCACUAUAAAGCAGCAUAGAAGUGUUCAGUUACAUGACGAACACUUGCCAGAGCCCUCAAUGGAAAAAAUAUGUAUGUGCAUUUCCAUGCACAUGUACGAAGGUCUGCUUUCGCUGCCGAUAAACUCUUAGUGGAUACAUCUGA